rnacentral:lncRNA from 1 species
CCCUGGAAUUGCGUUAGGUAUGGUUCAUAUGGAAAAUUUCCUUGCAAAUUUGCUCUUUCAUUUUGACUGGAAAUUUCCUAAAGGAAUUACUGCAGAGAAUCUUGACAUGACCGAUGCUUUUGGAGGAGUUAUGAAGAGAAAAGUAGACCUUGAACUGAUUCCCAUUCCAUACCAUCCUUAAUUUCUAUAUCUUAUCUCAAGAUUAGAUGUAACAGAUUAUGAAGAGAAAAGUAGACCUUGAACUGAUUCCCAUUCCAUACCAUCCUUAAUUUCUAUAUCUUAUCUCAAGAUUAGAUGUAAUAGUUUGUUGCAUGCCAGAUAAUCCAUGUAGGGGGUAGUUUUAGAAGAUAUGAUACUUUUGUUGGAUUUACUUUUUACUUUGGAAUGUAACAAAAAUAAACUGUUGUUGGGUGUAAAAAUUGAAUUAUGUCAACGAAAUAAUGAUAAGUUUCCAUCUUUUUAUUUCUUAUCUUUUUUUUAGAGUAAUAUUUCUUUUCUUUUUAGGGAUAUAAUUGAG